CAGAGCCACGGGAAUACGGAGGGUGCAAGCGUUAUCCGGAUUUAUUGGGUUUAAAGGGUCCGUAGGCGGAUCUGUAAGUCAGUGGUGAAAUCUCACAGCUUAACUGUGAAACUGCCAUUGAUACUGCAGGUCUUGAGUAAAUUUGAAGUGGCUGGAAUAAGUAGUGUAGCGGUGAAAUGCAUAGAUAUUACUUAGAACACCAAUUGCGAAGGCAGGUCACUAAGAUUUAACUGACGCUGAUGGACGAAAGCGUGGGGAGCGAACAGGAUUAGAUACCCCAGUAGUCCCUGUCUCUUAUACC
rnacentral:rRNA from 1 species